UACGUAGGGUGCAAGCGUUGUCCGGAAUUAUUGGGCGUAAAGCGUGCGUAGGCGGCUGCGCAAGUCGGGUGUGAAACCCCGGGGCUCAACCCCGGAACUGCAUCCGAUACUGCGUGGCUAGAGGUAGGUAGGGGAGAUCGGAAUUCCUGGUGUAGCGGUGAAAUGCGCAGAUAUCAGGAGGAACACCGGUGGCGAAGGCGGAUCUCUGGGCCUUACCUGACGCUCAGGCACGAAAGCUAGGGGAGCGAACAGG
rnacentral:rRNA from 1 species